UUUAGGUGUGUUGAAGAAAGUACACACGUCUUAUCUUCUGAACAUUUUGAUGGGAUUAACCACAAACCUCAUGCAAGAACAGUAAAAGGAAAGAUACUAUUCAAGUCCAGUACAUCGUAAUGCAGAAUUCUUUAGCAGUACCACCAAAAGAUGAAGGUGAAUCAAACAUCCCUUCUGGAACAAUACAGAGUAGAAAAGGUUUGCAGAAUAAGAGUCAGUUUAGGACCAUCGCACCAAAAAUUGUGCCCAAAGUCUUAACAUCCAGAGUACUGCCAUGUCAUUCACCAUCACGCUCUGAUCAGGUGAAUCUGGGACCCUCCAUCAACUCUAAGCCACUGGGGAUGUCCACCCAGAACUAUGCUCUGAUGCAGGUUGCUGGCCAGGAGGGGACAUUUUCUCUUGUUGCUUUGCCACAUGUUGCCUCAGCUCAGCCAAUUCAGAAACCCAGAAUGUCCCUACCUGAAAACCUGAAACUUCCUAUUCCUCGAUAUCAACCCCCAAGUAAUAGCAAAGGAUCAAGAAAGAAACCCAUCCUGAUCUUUCCUAAGAGUGGCUGUAGCAAAGCUCCUGCCCAAACCCAAAUGUGUCCUCAGGUGUCCCCUUCCCCACCUCACCACCCUGAACUCCUGUACAAACCCAGUCCAUUUGAGGAAGUGCCAUCACUAGAGCAAGCCCCAGCCAGCAUUGGCACAGCUGCACUGACCAAUGGAAGUGACCAUGGGGACUUGAGACCACCAGUGACCAACACCCAUGGCAAUCUGAACCCUCCUGCCACCCCAGCAUCAUCCACACCAGAGGGGCCUGCCAAGCAGGACCUCACAGAUCUUUCAGGGAAACCACACUUUGUAAGCAAGGUAACAUCUAGUAAACCUUCUGCUGUUGCCAGUGAAAAGUUUAAAGAACAAGUUGAUCUUGCAAAAACCAUUGCCAGUUUAUCACCAGCCAUUCUUGGCAAUGCAGUUCAGUUGAUCUCUUCAGUCCCCAGAGGGAAACUGCCAAUCCCACCCUACUCAAGAAUGAAGACAAUGGAGGUUUACAAAAUCAAAUCAGAUGCUAGCAUUGCAGGUUUUUCUUUACUAGGACCUAAGGCCGACUGUGAUAAGAUAGCCUCCACCGCAGAAGGCUUUAAUGCAGCCACCAAGGUGGCAAGCAAGCUGCCUGUUCCACAAGUGUCACAGCAGAGUCCCUGUGAAAGUGCCUUUUGUCCACCCACCAAACUUGAUCUCAACCACAAAACAAAACUGAACAGUGGAACCGCAAAGAGAAAAGGAAGGAAACGGAAGGUACCAGAUGAAAUUUUGGCAUUUCAGGGAAAAAGGAGGAAAUGUGUCAUUAGUAAGUGUAGAGAUGGUAAAGAAAGAAUAAAAAAUGAUCCCCAAGAAUUCAGAGACCAAAAGCUGGGGACCCUGAAAAAAUAUCGUAGCAUUAUGCCCAAACCUAUCAUGGUCAUACCCACUUUGACCCCCCUGGCUUCUCCAACUACACUACAAUCCCAGAUGCUUGGGGGCCUAGGGCAGGAGGUUUUGUUAAAUAAUUCACUCACUCCUGAAUAUGUUGGCUGUAAGCAAGACAACAGCUCUUCCCCUAAGCCCAGCUCCAUGUUCAGAAGUGGAUUCUCUGGCAUUAAGAAGCCUUGGCACAGAUGUCAUGUCUGCAACCACCACUUCCAGUUCAAACAGCACCUUCGAGACCACAUGAAUACACACACCAACAGACGGCCUUACAGUUGUCGGAUUUGUCGCAAGUCCUACGUACAUCCUGGCAGCCUGAGCACACACAUGAAACUUCAUCAUGGUGAGAACCGUCUGAAGAAACUCAUGUGUUGUGAGUUUUGUGCAAAAGUGUUUGGCCACGUCCGAGUCUAUUUUGGCCAUCUGAAAGAAGUGCAUAGGGUUGUGAUCAGCACUGAGCCUGCCGCCAGUGAACUGCAGCCAGGAGACAUACCAAAGAACAGAGACAUGAGUGUGCGAGGCACGGAGGGAUCACUGGAGAGGGAAAACAAGUCCAACCUGGAAGAAGACUUCCUUCUAAACCAGGCAGAUGAAGUCAAAUUACAAAUCAAAUGUGGCCGUUGUCAGAUUACUGCUCAGUCUUUUGCGGAAAUAAAGUUUCAUUUGCUUUACGUUCACGGAGAGGAAAUUCAGGGCAGGCUACAAGAAGGGACCUUCCCAGGAAGCAAAGGGACUCAGGAAGAGUUGGUGCAGCACACUAGCCCUGACUGGAAGAGGCAUCCUGAGAGAGGGAAGCCGGAGAAGCUUCAUUCCUCUGAGGAGGAUUCACAUGCAUGUCCGAGACUGAAAAGGCAGCUCCACCUUCAUCAUCAGAAUGGCAUGGAAAUGCUCAUGGAAAAUGAAGGACCCCAGUCAGGAGCCAACAAACCAAGGGAAACCUGCCAGGGUCCUGAGUGUCCCGGCCUCCACACAGUUCUCUUGUGGUCCCGUUCAGGCUUUAACUGCCUGCUUUGUGCAGAGAUGCUGGGACGGAAAGAGGACCUCCUCCACCACUGGAAGCACCAGCAUAAUUGUGAGGACCCUUCCAAACUGUGGGCUGUUUUAAAUACGGUCUCCAACCAGGGAGUGAUUGAACUUUCCAGUGAAGCUGAGAAAUGAGACCCCCACCUUCCUUCAGAGCUUCGUGCUUUGUGGUGGUGCUUAGUCACAAGGUUCAAACAACAGGAUUGGCGUGAGUGAACAGAAAUGAUUUUUUAGAGAUGGGGUUUCACCAUGUUGGACAGUCUGGUCUCGAACUCCUGACCUCGUGAUCUGUCCAUCUCGACCUUCCAAAGUGCUGGGAUUACAGACAUGAGCCACUGCACCUGGCCAUGAAAUGCAUUUUAAUUUUUAAAUAAAAACUGGGGUUUGGAUUGCAUGGAGGUUUGGUAAGUGUCUAUUCAAUCAGAAUAGAAAGCAACAUUCACUAAAUUAUUUCCAUGCCAGGCUUCACUUUGGGGCUUGUAUUCCUUAGGUCUCAGCCCAGGCAGCACCUCAUUGCUGCGGUUGUCCCUCUGCCCUUCCCUUGCCCCUGUUCUAGCUGUCAUAGCACCCACCUUGCUGUCCAGAAGCUGAGGGUGGACUUGUCCACCUCUCACACUAGAUAAUAAGCCUCAUGAGGGCAGGAACUGUGCCUGUGAACAGGGGUUCAGCACAGAGCCCCAGAGGGUCCAGUGGCUGACAUGGAAUAGUGCACAGCAGAUGUUUGUUGGGGAAAAAAAAAGGGAUACAUCGGCUAAGUAAAAACAAAAUUAACACUUUUUAUGGAUAAACCAGCCUUAGAAGCAGCAAAACUUGUAGCUAGAAAGGCAUGGAGGCAAACUUGGUCUUAAAUUCAGCACAUUAAUUUUGCUUCAUGUCUUUUGCUUCUUGGAAAAUUGUCCCAACGCCAACAAAACUAGUUUUAUUUUUCCUCUUCUUUUGGCCCUAAAUUAUUUCUGAAAGUUACAGCAUUUUAGAUUUGUAUUGUUUUAUUACCUGUCAUUUUUAUUCACGUCCGCUUUUGUUGCUCUCUCUCUCUCUCACUGAACUUCUUCCUAGUUUAGCUUGACUGUUCCUCUGUUAAGCUGUUCCUCAUAUGGAAAGUUGCCUCUUCAUCAGCACACCAUAAAUUAUCCAACCUGGGUGCGUUCCACUGCCUUCUCUGGCUACAGACUCCUCCCCUCCCCAGCUGCGCGGCUCCAGUUGUCUGUGGCCCCAGUGACAUGGUUGUUGGCAGUAAAUGUUCAACUUCAUUUAUUUCCUAGAAUUCUCAGAUCUGGACUGGUUUGCUCCAUUCAAGCCGCUGACAAGCUUUGUUAGGUACAUAUUUUAUAGCAUCUCCCCUUUUCACUGGGCUGCUGAGAAAAAGUGUCCUGGUGAGUAUGACCUGGAAUUUAGCAGAACAGGUUUUUAGCUUCAACUUUAUUCUGACUUCUAUGACGUUGGAUACUCAGAAGCUUAUCUAGGCUUGUGGUUUAACCUAAUGUAUAUUUGAACAAUAUCCACCUCUUCAGGAAUAUUACUUCUAGAGGUGAACUGUUUAUUGUGUCUUAUAUUUGAUCACGGUCAUGGUUAUUCCUAUAAUAAAACUAUAGCCACAAUUUUGGGAGCACAUUUUAAAUUUGUGUUUAGUAUGCAGACCUUGACUUAGGAGUACAUCACAUUUUCCAUGCUCUGAAGUGUGAAAAUAUUUCAGUGCAUUGCUUAACUCUAGGAAAAAUGCUACCCAUUGAAGGAAACCAAAUGUGACAACUAAGAGAUGUACAGAUUAUUCCUUCUAAUUUUAAUGUGAAGCUAAAUUUUCUUUUUCAAUUAAAUUUGCUCGUAUCUUCAGAAUUGCCCCACCCCCUUAGCUUAAGAAGAAACAAUAGGAUGGCAAUUCUUGCCGUUUUAAGUAUGUUCCAAAAACAAAAUCUCAACUUACUAGAAUUAUAAUAGAUCAUAUUUUUUAAUAAAUAGCCACUGAGCACUCCUCAAUGAAAAGAUUGUGCCUUCUUUCAUUAAAUAUGAAUUUAAUCUCCGCCGAGGAGUUGCAAAGAGACCACCAGGUCUUUGCAGAGACAAAGCACCGAAUUUAGUCUGAUUGCUGCCUGAAUUGUAAUGCAUAUAUUUACUACAGAAAUUCACCCAUGGAAGAGAUCCAAGUGGCUCAAACACAUGCACUGCAUAACCACCCCUAGAGCUCUGGCUGUCUCUGAAAGAUAUUUAAGGUUUUGUGCUUAGGAAACUAACAUACUGUCUUCUCCCAGUCUAAUGCAAAUUAAAGCACAGUUCACGUUUUCAUAAGGCAUUCAUUUGAACCAAACCUUUUUGACAAUAGUUACACCCUAGGAAAGUUAUUCUAAAAUGUCCACGAAAACUAAGUCUUUCAAAUGGUCUUUAUUCCUUCUGGAAGUAAAGGGUGGGCAAACAGAAGCAGGAGGACGGGACUAGUGUGUCAAGAUGUGGCAUGAGCUUUCUGAUGAUGGAAGGCCCAAUGGGGCACUGUAAGGGUAGGGGGAACAUGUCUCUAGUGUCCAGGUAGCACAAUGCCAUUAAUAUUUUGUUGUAAUGGAAAGAAAUUUGACAAUGCUUAUUACAAUCUAAAAUGCACAUUUUGACCCAGGAUCUCUACUUGUAAGAGUUUAUCCUAUAGAUAAUACCACACAAGGACACAGGUAGAGGAACAAGGAUGUUCACUACAGCAUUGUUUAUAGUUAGCAAAAGACUAGACCCAACUGAAAUGUCUAUCAGAGCUGUUAAAAAAACAUGACAGUACACCAUAUAAUGGAGUACCAUGGUGCGGUCGGAAAGACUGAAGUGGCACUUUAUGUGCUGGAAUAAGUAUUGUGUGAAGGAAGCAAGGUACAAAAGAAUGUAUACCGUGCCCCAUUUGCUGUUUAAAAAGGGGGAAGAAAGAGGGAGAGAAAGGAUAUAUGUGUGCUCCUAUAUGCACAGAAAAUUUACAGAAGGUGACUGCACUAUUGGAAUGUUUUGUUACAUUUUCUUUAAAAACUUUUCUUUAUAUUUCAUAUAUAUGCUUGACAUAGCAGAAUUUUAACAUUAUUUACAAUCAAAUUUGGCAGUAUUUUAUUGCAUGGCCUUUGCAUUUGGUAAUAUGCUUAGAAACUCCAAUGCUUACUCAAGUGUUUAUAAUUAUUUUUGUCU